CAGCGCUGCAAGUGGCAAUCAUUUUUAUUGGGCCUAAAGCGUCCGUAGCCUGUUUAGUAAAUCUCUUGUGAAAUCAUUGGGCUUAACCCAAUGGCGUGCAGGAGACACUGCUAGACUAGAGACCGGGAGGAGUCAGAGGUAUUCCAAGUGGAGCGGUAAAAUGCUAUAAUCCUUGGAGGACCACCUGUGGCGAAGGCGUCUGACUAGAACGGAUCUGACGGUGAGGGACGAAAGCCAGGGGAGCAAACCGGAUUAGAUACCCGAGUAGUCC
rnacentral:rRNA from 1 species